rnacentral:rRNA from 1 species
UACGGGGGGGCAAGCGUUGUUCGGAAUUACUGGGCGUAAAGGGCGCGUAGGUGGCCAACUAAGUCAGACGUGAAAUCCCUCGGCUUAACCGGGGAACUGCGUCUGAUACUGGAUGGCCUGAGUUUGGGAGAGGGACGCGGAAUUCCAGGUGUAGCGGUGAAAUGCGUAGAUAUCUGGAGGAACACCGGUGGCGAAGGCGGCGUCCUGGACCAAUACUGACACUGAAACGCGAAAGCCAGGGGAGCAAACGGG